rnacentral:rRNA from 1 species
AGAGUGAACGCUGGCGGCAGGCCUAACACAUGCAAGUCGAGCGGCAGCGCGGGGGCAACCCUGGCGGCGAGCGGCGGACGGGUGAGGAAUACAUCGGAAUCUACCUUGUUGUGGGGGAUAACGUAGGGAAACUUACGCUAAUACCGCAUACGACCUGAGGGUGAAAGCGGGGGACCGCAAGGCCUCGCGCGACAAGAUGAGCCGAUGUCCGAUUAGCUAGUUGUGAGGUAAAGCUCACCAAGGCGACGAUCGGUAGCUGGUCUGAGAGGAUGAUCAGCCACACUGGAACUGAGACACGGUCCAGACUCCUACGGGAGGCAGCGAGUGGGAAGUAUUGGACAAGUGGGGGCAACCCGUGAUCCAGCCAUCGCGCGUGUGUGAAGAAGGCCUUCGGUAGUAAGCGUACGUUU